UUCUUUAGUAUAAAUAUCGAUUCAAUGUUCAUUUUUUUAGUUGUGGAUUCCAGCGGCUAGGGUUUAAUCUUAAUACUCAUUUUCCGUCAUGAUUUCUAGCCGAUAGGAUUUUGUUUUUGCUCAUUAAGAUUGUUUGAAUGUUUCUCAAUUUGUUAUUAGGAAAAGUGUUUUCGUUUGUGUUAAUAUAUGCUCAAGUGAUUUAUCUUCGUCUCCAUCCAGUUUUCAGUUAUUGUGAUUUGAUUAUUACAAUCUGAAGUUUGUUUUUUUUUUCUAUCAUCAGAUGGCGACGUACGAUGCGAGGAAAGUGGCAACAACUAGCUUUAAUUUAGAGAUAUAUGAUGGCCACGUAGAUUGCAAGGAAUGUGGCAAUUGCUAGCUUUAAUUUAGAGAUUAUGAAGACCUUCAGAGGAUUGCGGGACGGAGUCUCGAAAUAGUUUUGACAUCUUAAAGAUUGUAAGGGAGUAUGGUCGUACCUUAAUCGGAUUAAGAAUGAAUUGCAGUAUUACAUACAACAGGGUGCCAACUGAGUUCCAACGACUCCAGCUUGGUCGAGUGUAUGCAGCUUCAGUCUUAUAACUUGUAAGGCUACUUCUUUAAUCUCCAGGAGAUAUUAUUUGAAAAAAUGUUUUUAAAAAUUUACCAUUAGUAUAGUAUUCAUAUUAAUUAUGUCAGGUACUAGCUAAUCUUCUAUUUGGUGGCAUAAGGAAUAUGCAAUCUGCUUCGAUAGUUUGAGAGUCGGAUAAAUGACCCGCAAUAUAAGGAUCUAAGAUGUAAUGUUUUGAUGCUGAAAUAUUCAAGAGAUAUGAAAAAUUAAAUUGACAACACUGGUUUGAUGAAGAUGGUGAGAUGAUUUUGACAUCUUUUUGUAGUCUUAAA